GGUAUUUUGACCGUGCAAAGGUAGCAUAAUCAAUAGUUUUUUAAUUGAAAGCUGGAAUGAAAGGUUGGAUGAGAAAUAAGCUGUCUCUAUUUAAUUUUAUUAGAAUUUUAUUUUUAAGUUAAAAAGCUUAAAUUUUAAUAGAAGACGAGAAGACCCUAUAGAGUUUUAUUUAUUUAUUUAAUAAGAUUAUUAGUAUAGAUUAUUUUUAUUUAAAAAAUAAAUUUAGUUGGGGUGAUUGAAAAAUUUAAUAAACUUUUUAUAUAUUUAUACAUUAAUAUAUGAUUAUUUGAUCCUUAGUUUAAGAUUAAAAGAUAAAAUUACCUUAGGGAUAACAGCGUAAUUUUUUUUGAGAGUUCUAAUCGAAAGAAAAGAUUGCGACCUCGAUGUUGGAUUAAAAUAAAAUUUUGGUGUAGAAGCUAAAA
rnacentral:rRNA from 1 species